rnacentral:tRNA from 1 species
UGGAAACAAGCUGUUAAGCAUUUCAUUUACACUGAAAAGGUGCUUGUAAUUAUACAAGGUUUCUAA